CGCAAAGGUGCGCGUUUCUAAACACAGAAUCGCCCUCAACAGGGAAAUGAAAUGAUACGGUUUCCUUUAAACUGAGAGGAAAAUACUGAGUUUCCGUGUGUGUGAAGAAGGCGCUAGACUGGUUAGCUCUCCAGGCUCGCCCGUCGCCAGGCGCUGUUCUCCUCCGAUUCUAGACUUCCAGUUCCAGGCAGCGUGUGUGUUGGGUCAUACCUCAAGGCCUUGGAACAGAUGAAACCUUUUCAGCCGCCUCGAGGAGGUAAUGGACCAUUACGAGAAAGCAUAACGCGUC